rnacentral:rRNA from 1 species
UACGUAGGGUGCGAGCGUUAAUCGGAAUUACUGGGCGUAAAGCGUGCGCAGGCUGUUUUGUAAGUCAGAUGUGAAAUCCCCGAGCUCAACUUGGGAACUGCGUUUGAAACUACAAGACUAGAAUAGGUCAGAGGGGGGUAGAAUUCCACGUGUAGCAGUGAAAUGCGUAGAGAUGUGGAGGAACACCGAUGGCGAAGGCAGCCCCCUGGGUCAAGAUUGACGCUCAUGCACGAAAGCGUGGGGAGCAAACAGG